GGGGAAUAUUGCACAAUGGGGGAAACCCUGAUGCAGCGAUGCCGCGUGGAGGAAGAAGGUCUUCGGAUUGUAAACUCCUGUUGUUGAGGAAGAUAAUGACGGUACUCAACAAGGAAGUGACGGCUAACUACGUGCCAGCAGCCGCGGUAAAACGUAGGUCACAAGCGUUGUCCGGAAUUACUGGGUGUAAAGGGAGCGCAGGCGGGAAGACAAGUUGGAAGUGAAAUCCAUGGGCUCAACCCAUGAACUGCUUUCAAAACUGUUUUUCUUGAGUAGUGCAGAGGUAGGCGGAAUUCCCGGUGUAGCGGUGGAAUGCGUAGAUAUCGGGAGGAACACCAGUGGCGAAGGCGGCCUACUGGGCACCAACUGACGCUGAGGCUCGAAAGUGUGGGUAGCAAACAGGAUUAGAUACCCUGGUAGUCCACACUGUAAACGAUGAUUACUAGGUGUUGGAGGAUUGACCCCUUCAGUGCCGCAGUUAACACAAUAAGUAAUCCACCUGGGGAGUACGACCGCAAGGUUGAAACUCAAAGGAAUUGACGGGGGCCCGCACAAGCAGUGGAGUAUGUGGUUUAAUUCGACGCAACGCGAAGAACCUUACCAAGUCUUGACAUCCCUUGACGAUGCUGGAAACAGUAUUUCUCUUCGGAGCAAGGAGACAGGUGGUGCAUGGUUGUCGUCAGCUCGUGUCGUGAGAUGUUGGGUUAAGUCCCGCAACGAGCGCAACCCUUAUGGUCAGUUACUACGCAAGAGGACUCUGGCCAGACUGCCGUUGACAAAACGGAGGAAGGUGGGGAUGACGUCAAAUCAUCAUGCCCUUUAUGACUUGGGCUACACACGUACUACAAUGGCGUUAAACAAAGAGAAGCAAGACCGCGAGGUGGAGCAAAACUCAGAAACAACGUCCCAGUUCGGACUGCAGGCUGCAACUCGCCUGCACGAAGUCGGAAUUGCUAGUAAUCGCAGAUCAGCAUGCUGCGGUGAAUACGUUCCCG
rnacentral:rRNA from 1 species